CCGGCCUGGAGAGACCAGGAACCAGCCCAGCAGAGCCUCACCUGGGAGCAGCUUCCAUGGACAGCAGCUCUGCAGCAAAGGCUCAGCUGGCCUUGUUCUGAGCGUGGUGUGAUAACACAGCCUGGACCCCUGCUCAGAGGAACAGCCAUCCCCUUUCCCGCAGGGGAACUGAGAGCAGCAUCGGCUCCUGGCUCGAAUCGCAGCAGAGCCCUCGGUCUGCUCUGCAUCGGUUGGGAAAGCAGGAGCUGCUCAGGGAGCCAGACCCCAGCACCGAAAUGUGUCCAAAGAAAUCCCUGACACAGCAGAGGGCUUGUGAGAUGAAUCUUUCAACUGCAAAAUACCUGGAUCCAAACUUGCUUGGGACUCUGCACAGGCGUGUGUGAGGACUUGAGGGGCCAUUUUGACACACUUCUGCAGCUUUUGGAGGGGCUGAAUUCUGUUGACAGCUGAGUAACACUGUUACCUGCCAGUAUGAUUACAGCAGUGUCCGCCUUCAUUUUCAAAUCCAAUUUGCAUCUAAUAAAAUGAAAGAUGAAAGCAACCUGGCUGAAAGUGCAUCAUCAGCACCAGCUUGCUGAAUAAUGGAUUUGAAAGACUGGAAAGAAGUCACCAAACUAGUUACAACGUUGGAGUGAAUCUAGGUCAGAGAAGCUUCAGCAUGAGUUAUUGCAAGCCCAUGACAUAAAUCAUCCAGGAGAGGCCAGAGAAGACCAACUUCCGAGCUUAUUUAUUGUAGAGAAGAUUGGCAUUAAUGAGCCGGAGGAGGAGAACGCAUCCAUCGGGGAUUAAAAUACCGGCGUGUCCUUCAGGGGAACGGUGACUAUCCAGAAAACACUGUAGCCAGUGUGUCCAGGAGCACCCUGUGCUCCGAGCCAUGGGGGGGUUUCCUGCUGACUGCUCUGUCAUCCGUGGUACCCAUCCUGCUCAGCCCUGGGCAGCACACAUGGGAGCUGGUGGUGCUCGAGCCGUGACUGCCGGCGCUCAGCCGCUGCCCUGGCCGGGGGCUGAAUGCUGCAGCUGCUGCUGCUUUUACAGCUUGGCUUUUCUGGCUUCAGCUGGCAUUACCUGUUCUGUCCUGGCUCCGAUGGCAUUCCUGCCGUGGCCGUGAGGGUGUUGGGGGGAAGCCUGUGGCACUGCUACAGAUUGUGGUGAACCAAAAAUCCGCCCUUUGUGAAAAUCAGCCCUUUGUGAAAAUCAGCCCUUAUACUGUGAUUCUUCUUUUUGGGCACAGGCAGAAAAAAUGUUUCAGCUUUGGUUCAUGUGGGUUGAAUAAUAAUUCAAGCUGUUUGCUGCCUUUGAGCAGAGAGGAUGGAAAGUUUGUGGGCUUGGGACUAGCCUUGAUUAAGGCCUUUUUUCUCCUCUGUGGUAUAAAUAUUUAGUGCUCAGUUGGACAGGGAUGUUUUCCAGUGCAGUUCUGUUUUCAGCAUGAUUUCCAUUUUAGCUUCCAUUUCUAAGUCACAAAAUUUUGCCCUAAUGAUUCUGGAUUCCAAAGAGUGGAAGUAGUUGGAUUGUGGGAGAUUGGAUAUCAUGAACAAGGUACAUUUGUUAUUUUCUUUCCUUUAUCUGCUUUACUUGUAAGGCCUGUUACCUAACUGUCAUUUUCCUUCCUGGAUUUCCUGUUUUAUGUUCUUGUCCCAGAGUAUUUAUUUCUCUUUUGUCUGCACCCAGUACUUGUAAGUGUCUUAAUUUUGUUUUCUUUCUUGACAUGCUCCUGUGAUGCUUUGUUUCAUAAAAAGUACACCUGGCAGGGAAGUCUUGUUUAGCCCAU